UGCCUUCUGGUUCGGAAUAACCCUGGGAAACUAGGGCUAAUACCGGAUACGCCCUUUUGGGGAAAGGUUUACUGCCGGAAGAUCGGCCCGCGUCUGAUUAGCUAGUUGGUGGGGUAACGGCCUACCAAGGCGACGAUCAGUAGCUGGUCUGAGAGGAUGAUCAGCCACACUGGGACUGAGACACGGCCCAGACUCCUACGGGAGGCAGCAGUGGGGAAUAUUGGACAAUGGGCGCAAGCCUGAUCCAGCCAUGCCGCGUGAGUGAUGAAGGCCUUAGGGUUGUAAAGCUCUUUUAUCCGGGACGAUAAUGACGGUACCGGAGGAAUAAGCCCCGGCUAACUUCGUGCCAGCAGCCGCGGUAAUACGAAGGGGGCUAGCGUUGCUCGGAAUCACUGGGCGUAAAGGGCGCGUAGGCGGCGUUUUAAGUCGGGGGUGAAAGCCUGUGGCUCAACCACAGAAUGGCCUUCGAUACUGGGACGCUUGAGUAUGGU
rnacentral:rRNA from 1 species